UCCUCCCUCCAAAACCCUGCUUUACCGCGGGCGUUUCGGGUGUUGGACCGCGUUGGACCGUUCGCGGCCAACUGGUCUCAAAGACAAUGACGGGCGUCCAUGGGACCCUCUUCGCACUGAGCUUUCCGGAGCACGCGUCGAGUUGCAAGGUCUUGUGGGCCCGGCCACCUCUAAAUCUAUAUUUUUCA
rnacentral:misc_RNA from 1 species